GACGAACGCUGGCGGCGUGCCUAAUACAUGCAAGUAGAACGCACAGUUUAUACCGUAGCUUGCUCCACCAUAGACUGUGAGUUGCGAACGGGUGAGUAACGCGUAGGUAACCUGCCUGGUAGCGGGGGAUAACUAUUGGAAACGAUAGCUAAUACCGCAUAAUAUUGAUUAUUGCAUGAUAAUUAAUUGAAAGAUGCAAUUGCACCACUACCAGAUGGACCUGCGUUGUAUUAGCUAGUAGGUGAGGUAACGGCUCACCUAGGCGACGAUACAUAGCCGACCUGAGAGGGUGAUCGGCCACACUGGGACUGAGACACGGCCCAGACUCCUACGGGAGGCAGCAGUAGGGAAUCUUCGGCAAUGGACGAAAGUCUGACCGAGCAACGCCGCGUGAGUGAAGAAGGUUUUCGGAUCGUAAAGCUCUGUUGUAAGAGAAGAACGGGUGUGAGAGUGGAAAGUUCACACUGUGACGGUAUCUUAACAGAAAGGGACGGCUAACUACGUG
rnacentral:rRNA from 1 species